rnacentral:rRNA from 1 species
UACGAAGGGGGCUAGCGUUGCUCGGAAUCACUGGGCGUAAAGCGCACGUAGGCGGAUUGCUAAGUCAGGGGUGAAAUCCUGGAGCUCAACUCCAGAACUGCCCUUGAUACUGACGAUCUCGAGUCCGGGAGAGGUGAGUGGAACUCCGAGUGUAGAGGUGAAAUUCGUAGAUAUUCGGAAGAACACCAGUGGCAAAGGCGGCUCACUGGCCCGGUACUGACGCUGAGGUGCGAAAGCGUGGGGAGCAAUCAGG